rnacentral:lncRNA from 1 species
GCUCAAUCAGCAUGAUGUGCUGGGCAGAAGGAUGAAUUACAGCAGGCUUUGUAAUGACUGUUCCCUUACCACUGGCGUCCUGCAGGCGGAAGGAGAGACAAGAACUGCCCUAGAUGAAGAUCGUUGGAAUUUAUAAUAGCAUGGCCUCAAGAAAUGUUGCACACAUUCAGAACAUCUUGUUUGGCACUAGGCCCCACAUACAGCCUGCACCUUGAAACUUAGUCCAUGAAAGCUUCUGAUAACCCUGAUAAAGCACCGCCGGUAGAGUAGCUCCUCCAGAUCCCUCUUUUCUGAUGUCAAAUUCAUCUGUGAAUACCAAAUUACCCUUAGCCAGUAAGUGAUACGCUGAAAAAUGCACGUAUCCAGAAGACACAGGCAGUGUUCUGUGGUUUGAAGCUGUGUGGAUAUGGAGGUGCAUGGCCAGUGGAAAGAAGAACGUGGAUCUGUAUUUCGAUUUCUUUAUCACAUUUGAAAGAAUUUACACUCGCCAGAAAGUGCAGCAUUUAUUCAUAUCAUCUUCUGGUGCUUCAGUUUCCAAGCUCUGUUACUUACCUGACCUACGUCCUCAGCAUCUGAAUGGGGAAUGUCAACCAGACAGCAGAUGGAACAUCAGAAAGAAAUAUGAGAUCAGUUUGAAGUUACAGCUUUCUGUUGAAGAGCCAAUUAUUGGCCGGGGUCUCUUCCAUUUAGAUAAGAAAAACAUUGAGAUUUUACCUCAGCUAAGCAAAUAAAACGAAACCUUACCUUUCUUUAUAACUCUGAGUUUGAACCGGUACCCCAAGUUAGCGCCCAAGAAAUUUAAGUCCAUUUACCAUUUCAUUACUGAAAACAAGCUGAGUGAUCAAAGCAGAACUGGAUGAGAACUCGUUAUCAGUGGAGAGAGAAGAAAUCUACGUAUUCCUCUUCAAAGAAGCCUUGCUCUUAUCAGCUAAUCAAGGCUGCACUUGCUGUGAUUCCGGAGUCUGGUUCCUCUAUUCUCUGAAAUCCUUCAUUCAGAAAAUGUGUUCCUCCAUAUGUCCACAUAGUCCCACCAAAUUAAAGAAACAGAGGAAACAAACAGUGGGAGCACA